GUUUCAGCGGUUUUCUCGUGGGAUAUGCAAAUCUGACCUACCUGAGAAAAAAUAAUGGCCAGAAGAACUGGCUUCUUUACUAUUCCCAUCGCUAUUUGAGGACUGUGCCUCUUAUGAUGGUAACAGUUGCAGUUUGCGCUUUCUUGAUGCACCACAUGGGUGAUGGACCACUCUGGAUGGAUAUUAUAACAGCAUAUGAGGGCACUUGCCGAGACAAUUGGUGGAUGAAUCUUAUAUACAUCCAAAAUUUUAUCAAUACGAAGAAAGCCUGCUUACGACAUACAUGGUACUCAGCAGUUGACUUCCAACUUCACUUCAUCGCUCCAAUAUUUAUUUAUCUCCUGUACAG